GAUGAACGCUGGCGGCGUGCCUAAUACAUGCAAGUCGAGCGAACGGACGAGAAGCUUGCUUCUCUGAUGUUAGCGGCGGACGGGUGAGUAACACGUGGAUAACCUACCUAUAAGACUGGGAUAACUUCGGGAAACCGGAGCUAAUACCGGAUAAUAUUUUGAACCGCAUGGUUCAAAAGUGAAAGACGGUCUUGCUGUCACUUAUAGAUGGAUCCGCGCUUCAUUAGCUAGUUGGUAAGGUAACGGCUUUCCAAGGCAACGAUGCAUAGCCGACCUGAGAGGGUGAUCGGCCACACUGGAACUGAGACACGGUCCAGACUCCUACGGGAGGCAGCAGUAGGGAAUCUUCCGCAAUGGGCGAAAGCCUGACGGAGCAACGCCGCGUGAGUGAUGAAGGUCUUCGGAUCGUAAAACUCUGUUAUUAGGGAAGAACAUAUGUGUAAGUAACUGUGCACAGCUUGACGGUACCUAAUCAGAAAGCCACGGCUAACUACGUG
rnacentral:rRNA from 1 species